rnacentral:snRNA from 1 species
AAAAAUCUUGUACAGUUUUUGGUU